GACGAACGCUGGCGGCGUGCUUAACACAUGCAAGUCGAACGGAAAGGCCCUGCUUUUGUGGGGUGCUCGAGUGGCGAACGGGUGAGUAACACGUGAGUAACCUGCCCUUGACUUUGGGAUAACUUCAGGAAACUGGGGCUAAUACCGGAUAGGAGCUCCUGCUGCAUGGUGGGGGUUGGAAAGUUUCGGCGGUUGGGGAUGGACUCGCGGCUUAUCAGCUUGUUGGUGGGGUAGUGGCUUACCAAGGCUUUGACGGGUAGCCGGCCUGAGAGGGUGACCGGCCACAAUGGGACUGAGAUACGGCCCAGACUCCUACGGGAGGCAGCAGUGGGGAAUAUUGCGCAAUGGGCGGAAGCCUGAUGCAGCAACGCCGCGUGCGGGAUGACGGGCUUCGGGUUGUAAACCGCUUUCGCCUGUGACGAAGCGUGAGUGACGGUAAUGGGUAAAGAAGCACCGGCUAACUACGUG
rnacentral:rRNA from 1 species